CAUGUCUAAGUAUAAGCAACCAUACUGUGAAACUGCGAAUGGCUCAUUAAAUCAGUUAUCGUUUAUUUGAUAGUACCUUUACCUGGAUAACCGUGGUAAUUCUAGAGCUAAUACAUGCUAAAAACCCCGACUUCGGAAGGGGUGUAUUUAUUAGAUAAAAAACCAAUGCCCUCUGGGCUCCUUGGUGAUUCAUAAUAACUUAACGAAUCGCAUGGCCUUGCGCCGGCGAUGGUUCAUUCAAAUUUCUGCCCUAUCAACUUUCGAUUGUAAGAUAGAGGCUUACAAUGGUCUUAACGGGUAACGGGGAAUUAGGGUUCUAUUCCGGAGAAGGAGCCUGAGAAACGGCUACUACAUCCAAGGAAGGCAGCAGGCGCGCAAAUUACCCAAUGCUAAUUCAGCGAGGUAGUGACAAUAAAUACUGAUACGGGGCUCUUUCGGGUCUCGUAAUUGGAAUGAGUACAAUCUAAAUCCCUUAACGAGGAACAAUUGGAGGGCAAGUCUGGUGCCAGCAGCCGCGGUAAUUCCAGCUCCAAUAGCGUAUAUUAAAGUUGUUGCCGUUAAAAAGCUCGUAGUUGAACCUUGGACCUGGCUGAUCUGUCCUCCUAAUCGAGCGCACGGAUUCGGUCGGGUCUUUCCUUCUGGGGAGCCCUAUGCCCUUCACUGGGUGUAGCGGGGAACCAGGACUUUUACCUUGAAAAAAUUAGAGUGUUCAAAGCAGGCCUUUGCUCGAAUACAUUAGCAUGGAAUAAUAGAAUAGGACGUCGGUUCUAUUUUGUUGGUUUCUAGGACCGCUGUAAUGAUUAAUAGGGAUAGUCGGGGGCGUCAGUAUUCAAUUGUCAGAGGUGAAAUUCUUGGAUUUAUUGAAGACUAACUACUGCGAAAGCAUUCGCCAAGGAUGUUUUCAUUAAUCAGUGAACGAAAGUUAGGGGAUCGAAGACGAUCAGAUACCGUCGUAGUCUUAACCAUAAACUAUGCCGACUAAGGAUCGGACGGUGGUUUUUUUAUGCCCCGUUCGGCACUUUACGAGAAAUCAAAGUUUUUGGGCUCGGGGGGGAGUAUGGUCGCAAGGCUGAAACUUAAAGAAAUUGACGGAAGGGCACCACCAGGCGUAAACCGCAACUAUAGCUCUGCGCCUAACAGCAGCCUCAAAAGGUGAAGUGGAUGCGUCCUUAAAUGCUAGUCUGCACAGCAGGCGACACCCUCAAAUUGCGGGAAGUUCUUAAAGCCUAAACUACCAAGUGACUGUCGAAAAACCGUCAUGGCCAGGGUAAUGACCUCGGGUACGGUAACAACGUUUAGGAUGCCACAGUAGAUAAUCCGCAGCCAAGCACCCUACCCUACUCACUGUGGGCGGGUGAAGGUUCAGAGACUAGAUGGGGGUGGGUAAGAGUAAAUAUUCUCAGUUAUAUCAUUUGAUCUACUAUCUAUCGUAGAUGCUUCCCAGUAGCCCUGUUGUAUCAAGACACUUCGCCCUUAAAAUCAAACUCACACUUCGUUCCUUUUCUGAGAAUCUCUUGCUUAAGAUAUAGUCCAAUCCUAAAGGGAAACCUUUAGGGGACGAAACGGGAGCCUGCGGCUUAAUUUGACUCAACACGGGGAAACUCACCAGGUCCAGACAUGCUUAGGAUUGACAGAUUGAUAGCUCUUUCUUGAUUGUAUGGGUGGUGGUGCAUGGCCGUUCUUAGUUGGUGGAGUGAUUUGUCUGCUUAAUUGCGAUAACGAACGAGACCUUGACCUGCUAAAUAGCCAGGUUGACUUUUGUCGGCCGCCGGCUUCUUAGAGGGACUUUUGGCUCNNNNNNNNNNNNNNNNNNNNNNNNNNNNNNNNNNNNNNNNNNNNNNNNNNUGACCUUUGUUACAAUCACAGGCCUGUUACAGUGAUCCUCGCUAAAUAAAUCGCUAGUUGAGCACCUUCAUCCUGUUGGCGGAAGUCCGCCCACUGUCGGGAGAGGAGCUGUUUGUGCACCUGCACAGGCGGUUGGUGCCAGCAAGACAACCUGGUUCAGGGAACGCUGUAUGCUGCAUGCACAUGUGGUUGUUAUGCCGAUCCUGAGGCGAGCUGGAGUCACGUCCGGCCGCUGCAACGCGCGCAAAGGUGUCGAUCUUGUGCUCAUGGCGCAGGGUUUGAGGUACGUGCUGAUCCCCCGGGAAACCGGGCUGCAGGUGCAAGGUCCGACAGGCCAAACACUUGUGGGAUGUGCUUUGCGAUACCCAAGCAAGGUGCAUUGGUUGUGGGGACUUUGUGGAUUCGAACACUAUGGAAAACUAUGUACGCGAGGCCCGUCGGCUUCCCUUGAACCUCUCUCUCCCAACCACUCCACCGUACAUCUGCUUCCACCAAACAUGUGUUCAGAAUCCACAAAGUUACCACCAGGAAUGCUGUGAUGCCCUUAGAUGUUCUGGGCCGCACGCGCGCUACACUGACAGAGCCAGCGAGUACAUCACCUUGGCCGAAAGGUCUGGGUAAUCUUGUUAAACUCUGUCGUGCUGGGGAUAGAGCAUUGCAAUUAUUGCUCUUCAACGAGGAAUGCCUAGUAAGCGCAAGUCAUCAGCUUGCGUUGAUUACGUCCCUGCCCUUUGUACACACCGCCCGUCGCUACUACCGAUUGAAUGGCUCAGUGAGGCCUUGGGACUGGCUCAGAGAGGUCGGCAACGACCACUCAGAGCCGGAAACUUGGUCAAACUUGGUCAUUUNNNNNNNNNNNNNNNNNNNNNNNNNNNNNNNNNNNNNNNNNNNNNNNNNNUACCGUCCGGGGUUCGAGGCCGGGAUGAGAAGUGAUUCCUUCCACAGGUGGCGCUUCGGAAGCCUUAGCAGCCUGAAAAGGUGGCCCUCUGACGACGAUAAAAUAAAAAGAGGUGCUGAAAUGCUAGUCAGUUAGCACACUGGCGACACCGUCAAAUUGCGGGAACCCCCUAAAGACUUCUGCUACCAAGCAGUGCUGGGAAACCUCACUGUGGCCAGGGUAAUGACCUCGGGUAUGGUAACAACGCAGAGUAUGAUCCUCUGGUAUUCAGUGGUGAAAUGGGCAAUCUGCAGCCAAGUCCGUCGUGCUCCUCUGGGGUGCCGGAUGCCGUUCACAGGCCAAAUGGUGGUGGGUUGACUUGGGCAUCAAGUCAGCUUAAGAUAUGGUCGGACCCCUGGGAAACCUUGCGGGAUAGUCACCAUGUAGUUAAAUGGAGGCGGGGAGCGAAAAAGUGCAAGCUUCUCACCAUGGGCGACUACGACAACCAGCUAUACAGCACACACGCUCCUGGGCGUACCACAAAAAUGUUCCGUAGGUGAACCUGCGGAAGGAUCAUUA
rnacentral:rRNA from 1 species